AGAGUUUGAUCCUGGCUCAGGAUGAAUUCUGGCGGCGUGCUUAACACAUGCAAGUCGAACGAAGCACCUUUUCACGAUCCCUUCGGGGUGACGAGUUGGUGACUGAGUGGCGGACGGGUGAGUAACGCGUGGGAAACCUGCCCUACACUGGGGGAUAGCAGUUGGAAACGACUGAUAAUACCGCAUAAGCGCACAGUACCGCAUGGUACAGUGUGAAAAACUCCGGUGGUGUAGGAUGGUCCCGCGUCUGAUUAGCUAGUUGGUGAGGUAACGGCCCACCAAGGCGACGAUCAGUAGCCGACCUGAGAGGGUGACCGGCCACAUUGGGACUGAGACACGGCCCAAACUCCUACGGGAGGCAGCAGUGGGGAAUAUUGCACAAUGGAGGAAACUCUGAUGCAGCGACGCCGCGUGAGUGAUGAAGUAUUUCGGUAUGUAAAGCUCUAUCAGCAGGGAAGAUAAUGACGGUACCUGAGUAAGAAGCUCCGGCUAAAUACGUGCCAGCAGCCGCGGUAAUACGUAUGGAGCAAGCGUUAUCCGGAUUUACUGGGUGUAAAGGGAGUGUAGGCGGUUUCAUAAGUCAGAUGUGAAAACCCGGGGCUCAACCCCGUGGACUGCAUUUGAAACUGUGGAACUAGAGUGUCGGAGAGGUAAGUGGAAUUCCUAGUGUAGCGGUGAAAUGCGUAGAUAUUAGGAAGAACACCAGUGGCGAAGGCGGCUUACUGGACGAUUACUGACGCUGAGGCUCGAAAGCGUGGGGAGCAAACAGGAUUAGAUACCCUGGUAGUCCACGCUGAAACGAUGAAUACUAGGUGUU
rnacentral:rRNA from 1 species